GUCCCCGAGCCGAUAAGCAAUCCCUAAGGGUUAGUACUUGAGUGCUAUUGAGCAUGCUCGGCCCGACCGAGAAGCCUACGGUAAUCAUUGCUGAUCCGCCUUGAACUCGCUGGUUCAAGGGCCAUCUAUUCUCAA
rnacentral:sRNA from 1 species